UCACAAUUUUAAAUCCCCGCCAUCCUCAAUUGAACAAGUGAAACCCUAUUCCCCCAAAUUUCCCAAUCCACGUUCCCUAUUUCCUUGAAACCGCUCCACCGCUUCACAUAUCGUUGUUGACGAGCAGGAGGAGGAACCACCAGCUUCACCGCGUCCCCAGUUCCUCCACAACUUCGUCGAGUCUUCAUCGCUUCAAAGCCUCCUCAGGUCCUCAUCGCUACCCUCGGAUCUCUUCCUUCAUCGAUGUCCUCGAGCUCCAUCUUUGUUCGUCGUUCCAGCUCGCUUUCUACUCGCCAAAAAUCUCCAUUUGCACUGGGUUUUCUUCCUCAGGGAAGGGGAUCUUGAUUUCUCUACGGCUCUGGACUUGAUUCAAUACCGAUCUUGGAUUUGGCUUAAGGCAAAGGUUAAAGGUCCUUUCUUCUCGCUGUUGAAUGGGUUAUUACUUGAAUAACAUUAUGCUUCAACAAGUGACUCUUUUGAUACAAGAGGUAUGUGAAGGGAAGGGUUAGGUAUCUCUAAGAGAACCUUAAGAAGUAAAGGCUUGGAUUUCUGCAAAGGCAGUUGCAUGUUGCAUGGAAAUUGAUAAUAUCACGUACAGAAGGAGAACCGUACUUCUUUACAUUUGGAAAAUCAGAGGGGGACUCACUCCUUGCUGCUCUUCCAAUGACAGUUUCUCUUUUAUGUUCUUAAUUUUCUGAUGUUGGAAAGGCUUAUAUGAGCAAAUUGGCAUGACAGGUUUUUGGUGCUCUUAUCAUUGAAAAGCUUCUUUCUGUUCCUACCAUGCCCAUGUACCAGUAGUAUAGAACAUUUGAGCCAAAGUCUAUGAGGUCUCAUCACCAAUUUCUAUAUGUUUUCUUUUGAUUAUAUCGAUGUUGAUUCUCACCUCUUCAUCAUCCUCUCAUCCUCUCAAGCAUUCAAAUUAAUUGUUGGAGGUAAAGAUGGCUAGGUGGUGAAGCUUUCAGAAGAAUACAUGCUUUGGGCUCAAAAAAUUCUGUUUCAAUUCAAUGACACCCUCUGUGAGUCCAAUUAAAGUCUCCUGUAGAAACAACGUCUUUUUACUUUUAUGAACCUUGUGCAUUUCAGUUUUUCUUUUGAUCUACUCCAUGUCAGAAUCAUAUGUAACAAUUACAAGUAGUCUUGUUUACAAUAAAAAUUCAUCUUUGAUUGUUUUACCAAA